GGGAGGAGCAGAGAGCAUCCCAAGCAGGCCCUGCACUGUCAGCACAGAGCCCGACCUGCGGCUCGAACUCACGAACCAUGAGAUCCAGACCUGACUGAAACCCAGAGCCGGACAGUCAGCCUACUGAGCCACCCAGUGAACGCCACAAACUUUGGGAACCACUUAAG